CCGCGCCCGCCGCCGUCCCGCCAGCCAUGAGCUCCACGCAGUUCAACAAGGGGCCCGCGUACGGGCUUUCGGCCGAGGUCAGGAACCGGCUCCUGUCCAAAUAUGACCCUCAGAAGGAGGCUGAGCUCCGCAGCUGGAUAGAGGGACUCACAGGCCUCUCCAUUGGGCCCGACUUCCAGAAGGGUCUGAAGGACGGGGUUAUCUUAUGCACACUCAUGAACAAGCUCCAGCCAGGCUCAGUUCCCAAGAUCAACCGCUCCAUGCAGAACUGGCACCAGCUAGAAAACCUCUCCAACUUCAUCAAGGCCAUGGUCAGCUAUGGCAUGAACCCCGUGGACCUGUUUGAGGCCAACGACCUGUUUGAGAGUGGGAACAUGACGCAGGUGCAGGUGUCUCUUCUUGCGCUGGCCGGGAAGGCCAAGACAAAGGGGUUACAGAGUGGUGUGGACAUAGGGGUGAAAUAUUCAGAGAAGCAGGAGCGGAACUUCGAUGACGCCACCAUGAAGGCCGGCCAGUGUGUCAUUGGGCUGCAGAUGGGCACCAACAAGUGUGCCAGCCAGUCGGGCAUGACCGCUUACGGCACCAGAAGGCAUCUCUACGACCCCAAGAACCACAUCCUGCCACCCAUGGACCACUCAACCAUCAGCCUCCAGAUGGGCACCAACAAGUGUGCCAGCCAGGUGGGCAUGACAGCUCCCGGGACCCGGCGGCACAUCUAUGACACCAAGCUGGGCACCGACAAGUGUGACAACUCCUCCAUGUCCCUGCAGAUGGGCUACACACAGGGUGCCAACCAGAGCGGCCAGGUCUUUGGCCUGGGCCGGCAGAUAUAUGACCCCAAGUACUGCCCACAAGGCCCAGCAGCUGACGGGGCUCCAUCAGGCACGGGCGACUGCCCAGGCCUGGGGGAGGCCUCGGAGUAUCCUCCCUACUACCAGGAGGAGGCAGGCUACUGAGGUGCCCGUGUGUGCCAUCUCCCACAUCAUUGCCCUGUCUGGGUUUUUGGGUUUUUCUGUGUGUCUUUUUUUUUUUUUUUUUAACAUGUUCAGUGCUGCCAACCGAGGGUCUGUGGGUGGCUGGGUGGGAUCAGGCAUCUGGGCAUGUUUUUCCCUAUCCUGCCUUGGUUCCUUCGCAGGACUGAACCACCAGGCUGGGGGCAGGGGUGAAAGCUAUCUCCGGAUGCGUGUGGGUGGGGGUCCCCACCAGGGCACAUCCAGGCAGCAAGUUUCUCAGCAGGCUGUGGGCUGAGCCGUGGGGAGCGGGGGAGAGACCUGGGCCGGGAGGGGAAUGGGCCCCAAAUGGUUUCCGGUUUCUGCCCUUUCUCUUCCCUUUUGUUUGCCGAUCAGUUUGUGGUUUCUGUACACACGGAAGUUUUGGGCAGUUUUAACAAGUUUCAGGGGAACGGGGUGGGGAUGGUGUAGGGUCCCCUGGGAUAGGGCCUGACCACAGUCCUAAAAUAUUUUAGGUGUCUGUGAGGAGCUGGAUUUCCCUAGGACCCUCAGACCACCAACAGUGACCCCUCCCAGGGGUCCAGUGUGGAAACUGAGGCCCAGACAGGACAGUGAAGUUCUAAGUAGUUGAGGCAAAGCCAGACCUGGCUCCCCAGACUCCCCCCACCCCACGACAUCCCCCUUCCUCGCCCUCCGUAGGUUUAACAGAACCCCCAGCUCUUCCCCUUCUGGGCCUGACCAACCGGCCCACACUUUUCCAGCUGCCCCACUCCCCUGCCCAGUACUGCACAGGGACCCCCACCCAGGGGUCCCUGGAUUAUGAAAUAAUGUGAAAUACCGACUGGACCAAAAGCAAUAAAAACCUCCGUUUUUAGGAAAAGAA